UUUCAAAAUAAGGUAUCUUUUAUUUAAUUAUUUAAAAAGACUUUGACAGAAUUACCGGAUCUUUUCCAAAUUUCGAAUCGUUUGACAGAAUAGGUUCGCAUCCAGCCACGUAUUCGAACCAUUUCUUGUCGGUGUCGGAUGAGUCGGGCCUGAGUCGGCCCCGUCCCGGAAGAUGGAUCGAUAAAAUAUUAUUACACCCCGCAAAAUUCUCCGGCCAAGAAGAAAGCAUGGGCGUGCUCUCAGUUUAUCCUCAGCUUAUUCCACCUAAAAUCCUUCACCGUUUCCUCUCAGCGAAGCCUCUGAGAUCGAGAUUGGUUUCCCUCCCUCCUCCAAGGAGAAAUCCUCGUCGAGUUCGGUGCUCCUCGUCCUCCGAAGCUACGGAGGAUGGGUUCGUCGUCGUGGAGGAUGACCUCCACGCGCUUCUUCAAAUUUUACCCAAAGAUUUGCGAGAUAAUCUACAAAAUGAACCUAGAAGAGCUCAACUUUUAGAGGUUAUUCUGGAUUUGGGUCGUAAGCCUGAAGCACGUUUCCUUGGUGAAUCUGGUGGGCAGUAUCUGAGGAAUACAGAGAUUUCACUGGAAGAGUUGGAGAAAGCUCAGAAAGCAGUUGGAGAAUUUGGAGGAGACAACCGUGCAGGCAUUGAAGGUACCUUACACAGGAUAUCUGCAAUAAGGAGUAGGAAGGGGCUUAUUGUUGGGCUGACAUGUAGAGUUGGACGAGCAGUUACUGGUCAUGUUGACAUGGUCCGUGAUCUCCUGCAAUACAAUGAAAGCAUCCUAUUUCUAGGAAGGCCUGGAGUAGGUAAGACUACUGUCAUGCGUGAGAUUGCACGUGUCUUGGCUGAUGAACUUCAAAAGCGAGUGGUAAUUGUGGAUACUAGCAAUGAGAUUGGAGGAGAUGGGGAUAUUCCUCACACAGCAAUAGGGGGUGCAAGGAGAAUGCAAGUUCCAGAACCAUCCAUGCAGCACAGACUCAUGAUUGAAGCAGUUGAGAAUCAUAUGCCUGAGGUGGUAAUUGUAGAUGAGAUUGGUACUGAAGCAGAGGCACUUGCUUGUAGAUCAAUUGCAGAAAGGGGACUGAUGCUUAUCGGUACUGCCCAUGGAGAACAUUUGGGAAAUAUAAUUAAAAACCCCACUCUUUCUGAUCUGGUUGGGGGAGUGGAAACUGUUACUCUAGGUGAUGAUGAGGCUCGAGCUAGACGUAGCCAGAAAAGCAUUCUUGAGAGAAAAGCUCCUCCAACAUUUCCUUUCCUUAUUGAGAUGAGGGAACGGAAUCACUGGGUCGCUCACCGAACCGAAAGGAGCGUUGAUAUGUUGCUCCACGGCAAAAAGCCGUUGGUAGAGGUGAGAAAGAGGGAUGACCAGUUCAAGGUUGUAAUUGAAAGAUGGAUAACAUAUGAUGGAGAGGCAAUAUAGUGAGAUUUUGCUCCAUCGGUUAUACCAAAAUUUGCACUUACCAAAAAAAGGACUGCUUGGCCUUGACAAUGGUGUCAAAAAUUUGCAAAUUGUUGAUUGGAUUGCCCAGCUCAGCUCCACACCUGCUGAUUUCACGGCCUAAAUUUUGUCAAACAUCUAGUGAAGGUUUAAGAAGCAAAAACUAAAGGAAAAUGCAUGGUGGUGGGGGAAGAUGUUCUCACUUAUGGUUGAAAUUAAAUCAAAUAUUAAUAUAUCCAUAUCUAUAUCUAUUUUGUUUGACAAAUACAGAUAUGAAUAUGGGAUUGAUAUAAAAAUUUAUGUUCAUAUUUAAAUGGGAUAUCGAAAGUAUGAAUAUACAUAUAGAUAUAAGUCGGAUAAUUAAAUUUUUUGUUC